rnacentral:rRNA from 1 species
UGAGACAGCCAUAAUAGGUUGGGAACACCUGUUCUCAUUCCGAACACAGAAGUUAAGCUUCCUAUGUUAAUGGCGGUAGUGGCCGACAAGCUGCAAACCCAUUAAGCUGUCUUUU